GGGUCUGUGGUUUAGUGGUAUAAUACUCCCUUAGCAUGCGAAACCCCGGUCAUCAUUCUGGGUUAAUUCGGGCUAAUUUGGGAGUGGUCCGGGGUUCGAUUCCCCGCGGAUCCA
rfam:Macrophomina phaseolina MS6 contig00207, whole genome shotgun sequence.